AUGCCCAAGUGUACAAGCUGACCUUAGCCAUGAACAGAGGCAGUUCUUCUACAGUAUAGAAGAAAAGCCCAUAUAUAAUAAAUAUGGCACAGAUGCAGACAGGAAGUUUAUCCCAUCUGGAGUCCACUCUGUACAUGACGGUCUGUUUCCUUUGCUUUGAGGUUCCAUUCUGUGUCAUUGGCCAUGCCAAGAUAGAGGCACCCUAAAGAUCACGUGUCCACAUGGACCCUUCUCCCCAGGCUUCAACAGUGGAAUCACGCAGCUCAAAGAGAGCUGUCCCUGUGUACAUAUCAGUAAGUGGUAUUUUUUUGUUGCCAUUAAUAUGUUCAGUUUCCGGUUUCUGAAAUUAGAAAACUGUGAAGCUAGGUUGCAGAGAUGUGCUCCAAGUGCCUUGCUGUUUGUUCAGUUUUUUAAGGACAACUCUGGUUCUGACUUUCUACUUGGAAAGGAACACCUAUUUCCAGCCAACUUCUCAAAAAUAAGCCACAAGGAGUCUAAGUAGUUUAACUUUAGAUGUGGAAGGUGCCGUAGACAGCAUCUAGUAUUACUUUAAUUAUCUUACUUAACAAACAGGCGUGCUGAGCGCUAAGGUUACAUGAGUGGCCCAAGACACAAAGGAACUUGGUCCUGACUUUUGGUCCGGUGCACUCUUUACUGUAGCAGAAUGGAAAACCAGUUCAAGUCAGCAAAAUCAUCUUCACAGCCAAAAGACAUACUUAAAAAUUUCAUCUUCCCAUAUUUCAUUGUCUCUUCAAAUUUAUACCUGUUGUUUCAAGACUGUAGUAUAGAAGAAUCUAUUUCAGAAGCCAUAUAGUCUAAUUUAAAUCUAUUAAAUUAAUUGGGCCCCUUGUUUAGAGUUUAUAAUUCAUUUCUUUGUUUAAAGAAUCACAAUGAAACAAACAAAUCACCAUCUUAGUAGCCUCAAUCAGUUACGUAAUGUGAAAGAUGAAAAUAAAUAUCUAAGGCGAAUUCUUUUCAAAUUGCUCUUCUCCCCUUUUCUGGAAUGUGGAAAAACAUGAGCUACCCUUAGGCAUUAAAGGUUGAGGGGUAGGCAAGAGUUUGGAAAUGUCCUAUUGUCAAGGGGUAUGAUGACAGCCUGAGUAGAUUUCUUAAACCUGAAACUAGCUUGCUUCUCUUCCUCUGGAAAGCUUCACGCUAGAGAUCAUGAUAUCUUCAUUAAUAGGAUGAGGUGUGUUUAUGAAAGCAUUGCUGGAAAAAACAUGAGGUUUAAAAAAUUAUGGAAACAGAACGAUGUCAACCAUAGUCUCAUGCUGAUGACCCAGGAUUAUUUUACAAGCAAAGAUUCAAUGAUAAAUUUUAUAUACAUGGAGAUAACAGAACAGCUCAUUAUGUGUCAUUCAGUAAUAAAAUAGAGCAUGGGACUAAUACAUAGAAUGUAACGCGGGUACUGUUUGACAAUACUUUUGAAUUUAAGUAUAUGGUCAAUAUUAUAAUAAUUUUGGCUCUGUGUAUAAUGGUAUUAGGACUGUACAUGUUUUCAAGAGCUGAAAUGUAUCACGGCUGGCUUUUCAAACAAGUUUUCUCCACACAUCCCUGUGGAGACAAACCAAAUGAAAUGGAACAGACAAGUUUCUCCUUUGUGGUCAGAAUUCCCUGGUUUAAGCCAUAA